UACGUAGGCAGCAAGCGUUGUUCGGAGUUACUGGGCGUAAAGGGUGCGUAGGCGGUUGUUUAAGUUUGGUGUGAAAUCUCCCGGCUCAACUGGGAGGGUGCGCCGAAUACUGAAUGACUAGAGUGCGGGAGAGGAGAGUGGAAUUCCUGGUGUAGCGGUGAAAUGCGUAGAUAUCAGGAGGAACACCUGUGGUGUAGACGGCUUUCUGGACCAUAGCUGACGCUGAGACACGAAAGCGUGGGUAGCAAACAGG
rnacentral:rRNA from 1 species